rnacentral:rRNA from 1 species
GAUGAACGCUGACGGAAUGCUUAACACAUGCAAGUCAACUGGAAUUAGGGUUUUUAACUUCGGUUUGGGUGGCGGACGGGUGAGUAACGCGUGAAGAACUUGCCUCCUAGCUAGGGACAACAUUUGGAGACGAAUGCUAAUACCUAAUAUUAUGAUCAUCGUGCAUCUUAUAAUUAUGAAAGCUCUGAGCGUUGUGAGAUAGCUUAGCGUCACAUUAGCUAGUUGGUGAGGUGACGGAUCACCAAGGCGAUGAUGGGUAGCCGGCCUGAGAGGGUGAUCCGCCACAAGGGGACUGGGACGCGGCCAUUAGGCAUUCGGGAAGCAUGAGUGGGAAACAUAGGACGACGGACCGAGAGGCUGAUCCAGCAAUUCUGUGUGCACGACGAAGUUUUUCGGAAUGAAAAGUGGUAUCAGUUUACAAGAAACAAAUGACGGUACCAACAGAAGAAGCGACGGCUAACUUCGUG